UUUCGCGAUUUGCGAGAAGCACGAUCUAAGCAGCGAGACGACCAAGCCGCGCGACCGAAGCGCAGGCCGUUCGAUCAAGAACCACGACGGGAGCGCCACGCUUACGGCGAGGAUAAGGGAGGCCGUGACGAGCGCGAGGGGCCCGUGGCCACGUCAAGAUGAGAGUCUGCGUAAUGGGCCAGCCGAAGAUAUAUAUUCCAUACGACAGAUCGAUCUGGUUGGUCAGCUCGCGCAGCCUUCCCGUUGACACUUUUGCCAG
rnacentral:misc_RNA from 1 species